GACGAACGCUGGCGGCGUGCUUAACACAUGCAAGUCGAACGGAAAGGCCCUGCUUUUGUGGUGUGCUCGAGUGGCGAAAGGGUGAGUAACACGUGAGUAACCUGCCCUUUACUUUGGGAUAACUUCAGGAAACUGGGGCUAAUACCGCAUAGGAGCUCCUGCUGCAUGGUGGUGGUUUGAAAGUUUCGGCGGUUGGGGAUGGACUCGCGGCUUAUCAGCUUGUUGGUGGGGUAGUGGCUUACCAAGUCAUUGACGGGUAGCCGGCCUGAGAGGGUGACCGGCCACAUUGGGACUGAGAUACGGGCCAGAGUGAUACGGGAGGAAGCAGUGGGGAAUAUUGCACAAUGGGCGGAAGCCUGAUGCAGCAACGCCGCGUGCUGGAUGACGGCCUUCGGGUUGUAAACCGCUUUCGCCUGUGACGAAGCGUGAGUGACGGUAAUGGGUAAAGAAGCACCGGCUAACUACGUG
rnacentral:rRNA from 1 species